UACGUAGGGUCCGAGCGUUGUCCGGAAUUACUGGGCGUAAAGCGCACGUAGGUGGUUUGUUAAGCUAGCUGUGAAAUCCCCGGGCUCAACCUGGGCACUGCAGUUAGAACUGGCAAGCUAGAGUAGGGUAGAGGGGUGUGGAAUUCCAGGUGUAGCGGUGAAGUGCGUAGAUAUCUGGAGGAACAUCAGUGGCGAAGGCGACACCCUGGACUCAUACUGACACUGAGGUGCGAAAGCGUGGGGAGCAAACAGG
rnacentral:rRNA from 1 species